rnacentral:lncRNA from 1 species
CUCCAGGGGGGGAUCGGGGGCCUGCCGGUGUCCAGGGCAGGAUGGGGACAAGGGGAUGUUCCCGAAUCCCUUCACCCGCUGCCACUUGUGGGAUUUGAGGGCGAGCUGGUCCUGAGCCCGUUUCCCGGGUGGGCUCACCCCCUCCCCGCAGGGUCCGUCGCCGCUGGAUUCCACGCGGAGCACGCGGCACCACGGGCUGGUGGAGCGCGUCCAGCGGGACCCGCGCCGGAUGAUGUCCCCCCUGCGCCGCUACGUCCGGCAGAUAUCCUUUAUCCCGUGUCCCCAGCGCCAUCCCGGCGCUCCCGCCCUUCCCGCGGGGUUCGGGAGCCCCCGGCUCUCGGUGUGGCCCUUAACGCUCCCCCCACAUCGACAGCUCUCCCUACGGACCCACGUACCUGUCGCCUCCGCCUGAGCCCAGCUGGAGGAGGACCAUGCCCUGGAGCAAUUUCCCGAUGGAAAAAGGACAUUUAUUCCGGCUGCCCUCAGCUCUCAACAGGUGAUGGAUUGUUUGAUUCCGUUUUCUCCCUGUCCCCAAGCCAGGCUCCCGCCUUUCCCUGUGGACAAAGUGGCCCUGGGGACUCCUGGGGGGGCCCUGGGACCCCCCUGGGGAGGAGGUGGCCCCUGACUCCCCCUCGGGGCCCCCCUGUCCUCCCCUGUGCCACAGCUGAACAAUGUCCCUCUUUGUCACUCACCCCAGCUGCCUUUCCCAGCCCUUCCCUGCCCUCCUCCACCUCGAACAGCUCAUUGGGAACACCCCGGGUGCCCCCAGCCCCUAAAGGGUUCCCAGGGGGUCCCAGGGGGUGCCAUUGUCCCCCCAUGCCAGGGGAGGUGGAGGAGACGGGAGCAGAGCCCGUCUGGGGGAGAGGGAUCCCGGUGGGGAGGGG